rnacentral:rRNA from 1 species
UUAGAGUUUGAUCAUGGCUCAGGACGAACGCUGGCGGCGCGCUUAACACAUGCAAGUCGAGCGAGAACUAGGCCUUCGGGCCUGGGGAAAGCGGCGAACGGGUGAGUAACACGUGGGUAAUCUGCCCUCGACAUCGGGAUAGCCCGGGGAAACCCGGAUUAAUACCGAAUAGCCUCCGGAGCUUUCGGGUACCGGAGAAAAGGUAGCUUCGGCCUCCGGUCCUGGAUGAGCCCGCGGCCCAUUAGCUUGUUGGCGGGGUAACGGCCCACCAAGGCGACGAUGGGUAGCUGGUCUGAGAGGACGAUCAGCCACUGGGACUGAGACACGGCCCAGACUCCUACGGGAGGCAGCAGUGGGGAAUCUUGCGCAAUGGGCGAAAGCCUGACGCAGCAACGCCGCGUGCGGGAAGACGGCCUUCGGGUUGUAAAGCUCUUUUGUGCGGGAAGAUAAUGACGGUACCGCAAGAAUAAGCCCCGGCUAACUUCGUGCCAGCAGCCGCGGUACGCC